AGUCACUGACAUUAGAUACCCCGGUAGUCCCAGCCGUAAACAAUGUGCGUUAGGUGUGUCGGUAACCACGCGUUACUGAUGCGCCGAAGAGGAAUCGUGAAACGCACCACCUGGGAAGUACGGUCGCAAGGCUGAAACUUAAAGGAAUUGGCGGGGGAGCACCACAACAGGUGGAGCCUGCGGUUUAAUUGGAUUCAACGCCGGACAUCUCACCGGAUAAGACAGCUGAAUGAUUGUCAAUCUGAAGGUUUUACAUGACUAGCUG
rnacentral:rRNA from 1 species